GAAUUCGCCCUUGUUUGAUCAUGGCUCAGGAUGAACGCUGGCGGCGUGCUUAACACAUGCAAGUCGAACGGGAAUUACUUUAUUGAAACUUCGGUCGAUUUAAUUUAAUUCUAGUGGCGGACGGGUGAGUAACGCGUGGGUAACCUGCCUUAUACAGGGGGAUAACAGUCAGAAAUGGCUGCUAAUACCGCAUAAGCGCACAGAGCUGCAUGGCUCGGUGUGAAAAACUCCGGUGGUAUAAGAUGGACCCGCGUUGGAUUAGCUUGUUGGUGGGGUAACGGCCCACCAAGGCGACGAUCCAUAGCCGGCCUGAGAGGGUGAACGGCCACAUUGGGACUGAGACACGGCCCAGACUCCUACGGGAGGCAGCAGUGGGGAAUAUUGCACAAUGGGGGAAACCCUGAUGCAGCGACGCCGCGUGAAGGAAGAAGUAUCUCGGUAUGUAAACUUCUAUCAGCAGGGAAGAUAGUGACGGUACCUGACUAAGAAGCCCCGGCUAACUACGUGCCAGCAGCCGCGGUAAUACGUAGGGGGCAAGCGUUAUCCGGAUUUACUGGGUGUAAAGGGAGCGUAGACGGUGUGGCAAGUCUGAUGUGAAAGGCAUGGGCUCAACCUGUGGACUGCAUUGGAAACU
rnacentral:rRNA from 1 species